rnacentral:rRNA from 1 species
GCCUAACACAUGCAAGUCGAACGAAGUAGCAAUACUUAGUGGCAGACGGGUGAGUAACAUGUAGGUAUCUGCCCUUUGGCCUGGAAUAACACGAGGAAACUUGUGCUAAUACCGGAUAAGUCUUUACGGAGAAAGCUUUAUGCACCAUUGGAUGAGCCUGCACUUGAUUAGUUUGUUGGUGGGGUAAUGGCCUACCAAGACUGUGAUCAAUAGCUGAUUUGAGAGGAUGAUCAGCCACAUUGGGACUGAGACACGGCCCAAACUCCUACGGGAGGCAGCAGUGGGGAAUCUUGCACAAUGGAGGAAACUCUGAUGCAGCGAUGCCGCGUGAGUGAAGAAGGCCCUUGGGUUGUAAAGCUCUUUCGUCGGGGAAGAAAAUGACUGUACCCGAAUAAGAAGGUCCGGCUAACUUCGUGCCAGCAGCCGCGGUAAUACGAAGGGACCUAGCGUAGUUCGGAAUUACUGGGCUUAAAGAGUUCGUAGGUGGUUGAAAAAGUUAGUGGUGAAAUCCCAGAGCUUAACUCUGGAACUGCCAUUAAAACUUUUCAGCUAGAGUAUGAUAGAGGAAAGCAGAAUUUCUAGUGUAGAGGUGAAAUUCGUAGAUAUUAGAAAGAAUACCAAUUGCGAAGGCAGCUUUCUGGAUCAUUACUGACACUGAGGAACGAAAGCAUGGGUAGCGAAGAGGAUUAGAUACCCUCGUAGUCCAUGCCGUAAACGAUGUGUGUUAGACGUUGGAAAUUUAUUUUCAGUGUCGCAGGGAAACCGAUAAACACACCGCCUGGGGAGUACGACCGCA